UACGUAGGGGGCAAGCGUUGUCCGGAUUUAUUGGGCGUAAAGAGCGUGUAGGCGGCCAGACAGGUCCGUUGUGAAAACUCGAGGCUCAACCUCGAGACGUCGAUGGAAACCGUCUGGCUAGAGUCCGGAAGAGGAGAGUGGAAUUCCUGGUGUAGCGGUGAAAUGCGCAGAUAUCAGGAAGAACACCUAUGGCGAAGGCAGCUCGCUGGGACGGUACUGACGCUGAGACGCGAAAGCGUGGGGAGCAAACAGG
rnacentral:rRNA from 1 species